CAUGGCAUAAAAGUCUCAGCCACGACAUGAACAGACAACACCCAUUAAAACAGCAGCAAAUGCGUGUGGUCUGUGUGAUCAGAGUUUAAAUGCAUCCAGAUGUAAUAAAUACAGACUGUUUCACGGACAUAAGCUUGCGAACAAAGCGGAUAACACGAUCGUGCUGGAGUUUCAGGCUCAGCACAUAGAGAGGCAGAUUAAGGAGGAGUUUGAGAAACUUCACCAGAGAGUCAAUAAGGAUAACUAAACUGUGGAAGGAAGAACAGCAGAAGAGUCAGACAGUGAAUGAGAAUAUUGAGAAAAUUAACACAGAGAUUUCCUCUCUUUCAGACACUAUCAGAGCCAUAGAGGAGGAGAUUCAAACUAAAGAUGCUUUAUUCCUACAGAACUAUGAUGCCACUUUGAAAAGUUUCCCAGUGUAAACCGCCGGAUCCGGAGAACAUUUCUGGAGUUCUGAUCAGUGUGCCAAAACACCUGAGCAACCUGAUGUUUACUGUGUUACAGAAGAUGCAGAAAACUGUUGAUUACACUUCUGUGACCUUUGACCCCAACACUGCUCAUUGUAAUCUCAUCCUGUCUGAUGACCUGACCAGUGUGAGGUACAGCGAUGAGGAACAGACACUUCCUGAUAAUCCAGAGCGAUUCGAUAUGUUUGCGUGUUCUGGGCUCGGUGGGUUUUGACUCUGGCUCUCACUGCUGGGACGUUGAAGUUGGAGACAGUACAGGCUGGUUCCUCAGAGUGAUGGCUGAAUCUGCUCAGAGGAGGAAUAAAAUAUUCUCAAGGAGUGGAAUCUGGCUGGUGGCUCAUUUCUGUGGUGAAUAUAAAGCACAUGAACCACCACAAUCACCAACUCUCCUCCCAGUGAAAGAGAAACUGCAG